AGAUGUUGGACAGAGGAGAAAACGAGGUGAUCCAGGGAAGAGCUCCGACUACUAGAAUGUGAAUCCAGACUCAUCUACAGGUCCAUAAAGAGAAGUGCAUCAUCAAUGAAACAAGACAAGUCUGGACAACAACAUGAA